UGCAUCUGAAGCUUACAGAGGAUGAGAACCUUCGAAGGAGGUUUGAGCCGAGCGUAGCGAGGCAACGUUGCUUCAGCAGCGGCCCGCAGGGGAUGUCUCCCCUCGCAAAUUCCCGCGGUCGCAAACCC
rnacentral:sRNA from 1 species